rnacentral:tRNA from 1 species
GGGGGUGUAGCUCAGCUGGCUAGAGCACCUGCCUUGCACGCAGGGGGUCAUCGGUUCGAAUCCGUUCACCUCCA